AACAAGUAGCGGAAGCUUACAUGCUCAAGAGGGAUCACCCGAAAUUCAAAGGCAAUUGAAUUUCGGCAACCGGGCAGCCGGGGCGUCGAAAGUCGGAAUGCCGCGAAACUCACCGGGUCAAUGCGUUUCGACGUUUGGAGUCAAAGUCAGCGGCUAUGCCCCUGAUGUCCACCCAAUUUUGGUCAAAUUCCAUCGUUUCGGCCCCGAAAUCGUCAUUUUUGCCAUUUUAGGAAAGUUUUGUUUUAGCCAUAACUUUUGAUUUCCAAGUCCGAAUUGACUUCCGUCAAUUCCUGCUUGCUCAGGAUUUAU
rnacentral:lncRNA from 1 species